rnacentral:lncRNA from 1 species
CUGAUCUUUCAAAUGCUGUUGUGCCUGCUUUUAAAAGAUAAUUAAAAUGUAAGGUAAAAGUUUACAGAUAUAUGUUAUCUUUAGGCAAAAUACACUCAUUUGUGUUUUCUGUAAUUUUCUUAAAAUGAAACACAGGCAUGACAUUACAACUCUCCCUUACAAUUUGCUCUGGGUAGUACGCUGACAAGUAUAACUGUAGUAGUGUAAUUUUCCUACCACACAAGCAAGAAAUACACAUCAAGGAUAUAUUAUGGACUAACCAUAAUAUCCAGGCACUCUGUUCAUGUCCUGUAACUUGCAAAGAGAUAGCGGACUGACUUUCAUCUCUUCUGAGAAAAAAAUCCCUCAGGACUAGUCAUUCAAAAUUCAUGCUGAAAACAAGUUGAUAGAUAGAUAACAAAACUAAAUGUAUAAUGAAACUGUCUGACAAUCUUGAUUAUAAAAUCACUUCCCUGGCUUCACUGUUUUCAUUAUAUCCAGGGAGCUGUGAUUCCUGUUCAAUACCCUGCAUAAGCAAGCAACAUUUGAAGAUGGUAUUGCAACACUUGUUGACAACGGAGGCGAGGCUCCCGCACGUUACGCCCAGGCGGGCCGCGCCGCCCUCCGCACGCCUCGCCCUGCUGUGCCGCUGCCAGCCCUGCCCGCGCAGGCCUGCGCGAGGGUGCGCGGCGUCCACCCGGCGCUCACGGAAGGCCGCGGGCGCAUCGCGAUCAGCAAACAAGAAGUCAUCGAGUCAGAAUUUUACUCUUAAACGAGUUCCUCGUAAUAAAAGCGGGGUAUAAAACCGUAUUCUAGUCAGACGUGAUUUUUAUGUCUGUGUUUUGUGGUUUAACCAGCUAUUUGGUUAGACCGCUCUCCCUCUGGUGUCUCGUUUGGCUGUGAGUCAAGACGUUAACCCGGCGUUGGACAGGGCCGCAGGGCGACGGGAGGCCGGGCCGGGCUGCGGCCCAGGCCCAGGCCGCGGAGGGCAGAAACCUCGGUCCCACCGCAGGGCGGAGCAGUGUUUAGUGGGCCCGAGCGACCGGGCUAGGCC